rnacentral:rRNA from 1 species
GAUGAACGCUAGCGGCAGGCUUAACACAUGCAAGUCGAGGGGUAUGCAUCUUCGGAUGCAGAGACCGGCGCACGGGUGCGUAACGCGUAUGCAAUCUGCCUUUCACAGAGGGAUAGCCCAGAGAAAUUUGGAUUAAUACCUCAUAGCAUAACAAAACCGCAUGGUUGAGUUAUUAAAGUAACAACGGUGAAAGAUGAGCAUGCGUCCCAUUAGUUAGUUGGUAAGGUAGCGGCUUACCAAGACUUCGAUGGGUAGGGGUCCUGAGAGGGAGAUCCCCCAAACUGGUACUGAGACACGGACCAGACUCCUACGGGAGGCAGCAGUGAGGAAUAUUGGUCAAUGGGCGCAAGCCUGAACCAGCCAUGCCGCGUGCAGGAUGACGGUCCUAUGGAUUGUAAACUGCUUUUGUACGAGAAGAAACACUCCUUCGUGAAGGAGCUUGACGGUAUCGUAAGAAUAAGGAUCGGCUAACUCCGUGCCAGCCGCCGCAGUAAAAC